rnacentral:lncRNA from 10 species
GGAAGGGUGUGGGUGCUGGGAUGGGGGUGAAUUUCAAGUUGAAACACGAUGAUGUGGUCUGCUUGCUCUCUGCUUAGACAGGCUUUAAGACCAAUUGGAUUUUCAUGGAGGCCAGGACAGAGAGUGGUAAUUGAUGGCUUGUGUACAGACAAGCAUUUAUCCAGGUUGCGUUAUCCAAACUGAUUUGUUAAAGCUCCAGGUCACGUUCUUACACUAAGAAAAUCAUUCAGUAAACAUGAGACAAGUUUAGGAAAAACUAAUAAAAU